GGGGAAACUCCUUCGAAGAGUCGAGUUGUUUGGGAAUGCAGCUCAAAANGGGUGGUAAAUUUCAUCUAAAGCUAAAUAUUGGCGGGAGACCGAUAGCGCACAAGUAGAGUGAUCGAAAGAUGAAAAGCACUUUGAAAAGAGAGUUAAACAGUACGUGAAAUUGUUGAAAGGGAAGCGCUUGCAAUCAGACUCCCUCGCGGUUGAUCAACGUUCCUUCUGGUUCGUGCACUCUGCCGUUUGGGGGCCAGCAUCGGUUGGUGCGGCGGGACAAAGGUUUCGGGAAUGUGGCUUUCUUCGGAAAGUGUUAUAGCCCGUUGCGUAAUGCCGC
rnacentral:rRNA from 1 species